rnacentral:lncRNA from 1 species
CGUCAAUGUGCCUGGAGAGUCGACUCUGCGACGUGAUUUCCUGAGGCUGCAGCAAGAGAACAAGGAACGGUCUGAGGCUCUGCGGAGACAGCAGCUUCUGCAGGAGCAGCAGCUCCGGGAGCAGGAGGAGUAUAAGAGGCAGCUGCUGGCUGAGAGGCAGAAGCGGAUUGAACAGCAGAAAGAACAGAGGAGGCGGCUGGAAGAGCAACAAAGGAGAGAGCGUGAAGCCAGGAGGCAGCAGGAACGUGAGCAGCGGCGGCGAGAACAGGAGGAGAAGAGGCGUCUGGAGGAACUGGAAAGGCGGCGUAAGGAAGAGGAAGAGAGGAGACGGGCAGAAGACGAGAAGAGGCGAGUGGAGCGGGAGCAGGAGUACAUCAGGCGGCAGCUAGAGGAAGAGCAGCGGCACCUGGAGAUCCUGCAGCAGCAGCUGCUCCAGGAGCAGGCUAUGUUACUGGAGUGUCGAUGGCGGGAGAUGGAGGAGCACCGGCAGGCAGAGAGGCUCCAGAGGCAGUUGCAACAAGAACAAGCAUAUCUCCUGUCUCUACAGCACGACCACA